AUCUUCAUAAUAAAGGAACCUCGGCUCCGUAAUGAUCUUCUCUUUCCAUUUCAUCAGACAGUCAAUAGAACGAAUUCUUUGAACUCUCCAAGCUUCAGAGAACAUAUGUAGUACAUUCGUCACGCUCGCAAACAUCUUUGUGCUUUCGGCAUAAACUGCGCAUGUCUAUAUAGAUCAUGCCACAAUGAAUAAGGAAAAAGUGCAAGAAUGCAGCAUAUAUUAUGUCGGUGAUUAUAUCGGCUCACAAUCAGUCGUUGCCAUAGACGUAGGAAAUAUAGACUGCGGGUAUCGAACAAAUCUUGCGCCAAAAUUAGAAAAAAAAAUGCAACGUCUCUAAAUUAUGAUUGCCAUGGGAAAAAUUUUCCUCUAGUUAAAAAAAAGAGAUAAACAUACUUUCGUGACAUUGCGUUCUUUUUCUAAUUUUGGCGCGCGAAUACGUAAUAGAUAACAUAACAUAUGUGCAAUCUAUACUUCUCCUACGUCUAUGGUUGUUGCUCACAUUUCAUUUUUAGCCCAUCAGCGAUAGAGGUCGCAAUAUCUCGCAUUCAUAAUGAUUAAAGAAUGCGAGGUCUUCUACCCUCUUUACAUCCCGCGUCUUCGUCUCAUCUUAUACAUCCGGUUGCGCGGUCGGAAAGAUUCCGAGAGGUGAUGGCCAACGUAACGGCCGUCGUGAAUCCGGUGACAACGACGAUGCAGGAUACCACCGCUGGUAUAUUAAAUGUAGACAUUAGUCAGCUAAUGUUUAUCGGCCGGAGAUGGAGAGCGAGACAGUGGAUGUCGGACGCGAGAUCUUAAUUGGAUCAUAAUUCAUCGGCAGUCUUUCUCGCGGUAAUGCCGCGUGUCGCCGUUCUUUUCCAGGGUAUUUCUCGGAUCUUCCCGCGUACACGCAUGCAGAUGAGAUACGCAGAUCUUUUCAUCAUGAUGCGGUUCAAAUAAAUUUCUCUUUACAGAAGAUCCACACGAUGUGCUAAAAGAACGUUUCAUCGAUUCCAGCCGAAACUUGGGAGAAGAGUCCGACAGUCUCGAACGUGGCUAGAAUCGGUACCUACACGAACGUUUCCUGCCGACCCUUCCGGCGCGCGCUUGACAGCGUACAAAAAGCACGCGCCUGCUUUGUUCCGUCCGUUCGUUUUCGUGACCAAGCGCCGAUCGCUGAGGUCGCAGCUUCCGUCGAGGUGUCCGAAGGAAACGCGAUGCCGGGAGAGAGAAGAGGGAGGAAGAAAUUCCCGGUAACUUUCCCUCCUACGCGCAAACGGUUCGUGAGAAGCGAGGAGAGAGGCGGUGGGCGGAGGAUUCCCCCCAUGCUAGCGAUGGGAUCAACCGUGAUUUUUCUUCAAUUACCAUUUAAUCGUGUUUUAAGUUAAGAUUACGUCGCUCGAAAUAUGUCACUCGCUUUUUUCAAUUACGACAGAACAUUUGAUUUUGAGAUAUCGCAUAUAUAUUUUUUUCUGCCAAAUUUAUGGUUAUUAUACAGAUAUCGAGUAUAUUAUUUAUUGUAAUAUAAAAUGAGUUACAAUAGAUGUACAAGAUUGUUACAAUCUCUUUUGUUUGAAUUUACCCCAAUAGA